rnacentral:rRNA from 1 species
CCUACGGGAGGCAGCAGUAGGGAAUCUUCCACAAUGGGCGAAAGCCUGAUGGAGCAACGCCGCGUGAGUGAUGAAGGCCUUCGGGUUGUAAAACUCUGUCAUUCGGGACGAACCGGAGUCUGAGGAAAUGCAGACUCUCUGACGGUACCGGAGGAGGAAGCCCCGGCUAACUACGUGUCAGCAGCCGCGGUAAUACGUAGGGGGCAAGCGUUGUCCGGAUUCACUGGGCGUAAAGCGCGCGCAGGCGGUGAUGUAAGUCUGAGGUGAAAACCCGAAGCUCAACUUCGGGACUGCCUUGGAUACUGCGUCACUUGAGGAUAGGAGAGGCAAGGGGAAUUCCACGUGUAGCGGUGAAAUGCGUAGAGAUGUGGAGGAACACCUGUGGCGAAGGCGCCUUGCUGGCCUAUUUCUGACGCUGAGGCGCGAAAGCGUGGGGAGCAAACAGGAUUAGAUACCCUGGUAGUCCACGCUGUAAACGAUGAGUGCUAGGUGUAGGUGGGCUCAUACCCAUCUGUGCCGAAGCUAACGCAUUAAGCACUCCGCCCUGGGGGAGGUACGGUCGCGAGACGUAGAAACGUACGAAGAGUAGUAGGACGACGAGAGACGCGACGGACGACGACGACGGAGGGGAGGAGG